GUGCUUACUUUGGCAGCACAUAUAUUAAAAUAGGAAUUAUAUAGAGAAGAUUAGUAUGGACUCUGAGCAAAGAUGACAUGCAGAUUUGGGAAACAUUCCAGUAAAAA
rnacentral:snRNA from 1 species